AGAGUUUGAUCAUGGCUCAGAUUGAACGCUGGCGGUAGGCUUAACACAUGCAAGUCGAGCGAGAAAGUAUCUUCGGAUAUGAGUAGAGCGGCGGACGGGUGAGUAACGCGUAGGAAUCUACCUAGUAGAAGGGGAUAGCCCGGGGAAACUCGGAUUAAUACCGUAUACCUCCUAAGGGAGAAAGAGGGCCUCUCUUGAUGCUCUCGCUAUUAGAUGAGCCUGCGUAAGAUUAGCUUGUUGGUAAGGUAAUGGCUUACCAAGGCUACGAUCUUUAGCUGGUCUGAGAGGACGAUCAGCCACAUUGGGACUGAGACACGGCCCAGACUCCUACGGGAGGCAGCAGUGGGGAAUAUUGGACAAUGGGCGCAAGCCUGAUCCAGCCAUACCGCGUGUGUGAAGAAGGCCUUCGGGUUGUAAAGCACUUUAAGCAGGGAGAAAAAGCAAUAAGUUAAUACCUUAUUGCCGUGAUGUUACCUGCAGAAUAAGCACCGGCUAAUUCCGUGCCAGCAGCCGCGGUAAUACGGAAGGUGCAAGCGUUAAUCGGAAUUACUGGGCGUAAAGCGCGCGUAGGUGGUUUGUUAAGUUGGAUGUGAAAGCCCUGGGCUCAACCUAGGAACUGCAUCCAAAACUAACUCACUAGAGUACGAUAGAGGGAGGUAGAAUUCAUAGUGUAGCGGUGGAAUGCGUAGAUAUUAUGAAGAAUACCAGUGGCGAAGGCGGCCUCCUGGAUCUGUACUGACACUAAGGUGCGAAAGCGUGGGUAGCGAACAGGAUUAGAUACCCUGGUAGUCCACGCCGUAAACGAUGACAACUAGCUGUUGGGAGACAAUGUCUUUCAGUG
rnacentral:rRNA from 1 species